rnacentral:tRNA from 1 species
GCGCCCGUAGCUCAGUUGGAUAGAGUACCUGGCUUCGAAUCAGGGGGUCGGGGGUUCGAGUCCCUCCGGGCGCGCCA